AUUUUCCCUAGCAUCCUACAGUCAAGAGAGAACCAAGGCAUUAUAUAUAAAUAUAAGUAGAACACAGAGGAAUCAUAGUUAAUACAUUAGAUGGUUCAGUGGUAACAGAGAAACAGCCAAUAAGCCGCACAUCCACAGUUUGAGUGGUAACAGAGAAACAGCCAAUAAGCCGCACAUCCACAGAUUGAAAUUAUGCUAGUUCGUACCACCUCAACAACCUUAAGAAAUAAGACCUUCCUUGCAUAAAAAACCAUUUUAGUCCUUUUUCCCCCCUUAACAACAAUUAAAGAGAUCCUCUAAAUUUCCAGCAGCAAAACAAAUGAUUAGACUACUAUUAAGCACCGUUCAAAUCAAACAAACAAAAAAGGAAAAUAAAAGCCAGUUAUGAUACCAAAACCUCAAUAUCAGCAUCAAGCGAGCAACUUUAUUGAGAAAGACUGAGAGAAAA
rnacentral:lncRNA from 1 species